GUAAACUUCUCCCGCAAGUAACUCCGCAAGCGGAUCAUUCACCGUGUGCUUCCACAAAGCCCUUCCGGCGGCCGUCUGACACGCCGACUGCCGGAGCGGGUCCCAAUCGUUCUCAACAUCUGCGUGGAUUUUUCGCACUGGGUUAUCGCAAGGCUGAUAAGAGUAGAGAAGAAAGUGUAGGUACGGUGGGUGCAUUAUAUAGAGAAGAAAGGGUGUUAGGGGGAUAAGGAAAGAGAGCCACACACACAACCAACGUUUGUGAGAGAAGCUCAAAUCGUGUCCAAGCUUCUACUUUGCCUAAGGAGGCAGCAGCUCUAGCUUUUGUGGCCUGUGAUUUACGGAGGUUGGAAUAACGUUCCUCUUUUACCCGAAAAAGGAACGAGGUUUGGAGCUUGUUUGGUAAAAUUUGUAGUCUUUCAUUUCUCAUGUUUGGUAAAUUUUUUGACACAAAAUGGAACUCGCGAUCUCGAGAAUUUGAGGAAACAAAUAAGGACUUUUGACCUGAUUUCAGAAACAGGUCCUUCAUUCCCUCCUCCCUCCGCUGCCACCAACCUUCAACAAACCCCGUCACAGACAAACCCUUUCCUGGUGCUACCUUUGGGCCCUCGGUCACGUCCUCUUCUUCUAGGAGCCCCUUCGGCUAUCAACGCUACUGUGAACAAAAAAUUUCUAUCAACUGGACACGGACAGUUAUACGAUUAGAGCAUAUAGUUUAGGAGUAUUCUCAAAAUUCUACUAGUUGCCAAUUACACCAAAACAAAUACGCUAUGAUCAUAAAUCUCUGAUCGGCAGGCCCAGCCCUUGGAAUAGGCCCACCAGGACUCUGCCGGCCUCUAGUUUUGGGCUCAAUAAUUGGGCUCUCAAAUAGGAGAAUAUGUUAAAUAUUAUGUAUGUGAACAAUUUAACAAGAAGUCUAAUGUAGCAUGGCACGGUGGUAAAGGGAUCACGAGGUCCCUGGCCACUUCAAAUUUUAAGGCGACAAUUUUGGAACCUUUACAAAAAUGGUUUCGAAACGUUGCUUGUGAGGCUUGAACUCACAACCUGAGGUUCUAAGGUGGUGGGUACAAUCACUCUGUCGCACCUUGUCUUGUUUCCUAUAUCGAAAAACUAAUUAAUAUACUAAAAAUGAGAGGCUCCAUUUUCAAAGCCCACC